CCCAGACCUCAUUUAAGAGUUGGCAGUAGAGGUAAGGGUAUCUUGCUGGAAAUCCCUGUCUACUUGAGUCCUUCCAAGGGGUAGAAGAAACAUAUUGGAAAAAUGUAUUUGAAAAACUUUAUUCACACUCUGAAAGAGGAAGUAAACUAAUGGUUCUCCACUUUCUGGGUGGGCACUGUUUCCACAGCAGGAUUCUCCAGUAAGGUCCUUCUUUGUCAUCCAAGAAACUGUCUAAAUGGACCAGGGAAGAUGAAAUCUACUAACCUGGUUAAGAUCAGCACAGAUGGAGCCCAGAGCCACUCGUAACAUGUUCUGUCACAAUUGGACCACCUCCAUGUCCCCAUGUUGUCUGCUGCAGUACAAGCAGAGGACCAGCAGAUUUUCCACAGUGUAUUUGGCCUGACUGUGAGGACAAGGAUCAGUGGGAAACGUUAAGAAGGAAACUGUAGCCUUCACCUUGAGCCAUGAGAAGCAAGUCAAGAAGGGGACACUCAUGCUUAGACAGAGAACACAUGGGGGUCAAGAUCCAGAGGAAAGUUAGCUCUACUGUAUCCCAUUGUUGCACUAUGUGUGCAGCUAACAGCAGUAUUGCACAAGGCAGCUGAAGGAUACUGAAUCAACAAUUAGAUGGCUGCCUGGCUUCUCUUGAGUUAGCAGCAGGGUCUAAAGAAAAUACUUGUAAGAGCUCAGAAAGAUUACUGUGAAGGAAAGUAUCGUAUGUAAUUGUCUUCUUACCCACUGCACAACAGCAACAAACACAAACCUUUAGAAAUACAAGUCAUUUUUCUUUAGAAGACUGCAGGAAAAGCAGUGCUUUUUAGAGGAAAUGUCAAAAAGGAAGCUGGCAAAACUCAUAUUAUGCCCCGUUCUGUUGACACAUCAUAUAAGAAACACAAAGAGAAGUUGACCAUCUUACACAACAACCAGACUAUAUUUAUUUCAUUACAUCCUGUAUGAAAUAUAGCUAAAUGUACUCACUAAAAAAAGUAGUUAAACAGUUUUGUUAUGAAAACUUUAUUAGUGUUGUGGCUUGUAUACAGAUAGGGAAAGGAAAUCUAGACUUCUGGCUGGAACAUCUACCUCAACCCACAGAAUAGUUGGGUUUGAAAGAGGCCUCUGGAGAUCCUCCAGGCCAGCCUCCUCCCAAUGCUUGUUCCCUAGAGUAGUUUGCACAGGAAAACAUUGAGGUGGGUCUUGAAUAUCUGCAGAGGAGACUCCACAGACUUUCUAGGCAACUUACUCUAGUAAUCUGUUACUCUCAAAGUAAAAAGAGUUUUUUCUCAUGUUCAUGGUUGGUUAUUUGCAUUUUAGUUUGUACCCAUUGUUCUUUUGUGGACCACCACUCAAAAGAAUCUGACCCCAUUUUCAUGGCUCCAGCCUCAUAGUUAUUUGUAGGCAUUGAUGAUAAAGGUUCCCCUCAGUCUUCUCUUGUCCAGGCUGAAUAACCCCAGGGCUCUCCACCCUUCCUCAUAAGGGAGAUGCUCCAGGCUCAAAUCAAUCCUCUGGACUCUAGAAGUUCCCCAUUCCCAUCUUUAUUGAACUGUGUAACCCAGAACUGAACAUAAUAAUUGAGAUGUGGCCUCAUCAGGGCAGAGCAGAUGGGGAGGAUAACCUCCCUUGACCUGAUGGCCACUCUCUUCUUAAUGCACCCCAGAAUACCAUGGGCCUUCUUGGCCACCCAGGCACAUCUCAUUGUAACAUGUUGUCCACUAAGACACCCACGUCCUUCUCCACAGUGCUCCUUUUCAACAGCUCAGCCCCUAACCUGUACGCAGUUAUUUUUCUCCAAGUUUCAGACUCUUCACUUGCCUUUUUUGAACCUUGUAAGGUUCCUCUCUGCCCAACUUUCCAGCCUGUUUAUGUCUCCCUGAAUGGCAGCACAGCCUUCUCUUGUGUCAGUCACUCCUCCCAGUUUCGUAUCAUCAACAAACUUGCUGAGGAUGCGCUGUCCCUUCAUCCAGGUCACAGAUGAAGAUGCUAAACAAGACCAGACUCAGCACUGACCAUUGGUGAGUGCCUCUAGACCUGCAAAUAGAUUCUGUGUUGUUGAUCUCAACCUUCUGUGCUCUGUCAGCCAGCCAGAUCUCAAUCCACCUCAGCCAGUUUUCAGUCCACCAUACAAUGAUAUUCGGACUUAUUUGAUAAUGCUUAGAAUACUUAAGAAUAUGUUGAUCUAGAUAAUUAUAAGAAUUUCAUCGAUUUCUUCAUUUCCUGAUUUAACAUUAAGGUUUGGGUGUUGUUAUUGUUUGUUUUUUUAAAUUCUUUUCAUUUUUUGUGAUUUUUUUUUUUCCUCAAAGAAAAUAAAGUAAGAUACCCAUCAAGCGUUAGCUACUACCAUUAUGCAUUAUACCUGGGAAGAAUAUUCAGAGGACCAAUUUGAAUCCAGUAUGAAAAAACAUUAAUGUUAUUGGUGCUGAGAUUUUUCUGUGAUCCACUAACAGAACAAGGACUGAGACGAGGUCUUUUAUUUCUUCCUUUCUAACUCACUGAGCCAAUAACAUGCCACUUGACUGCAGCUGGUAAUUAAUAUUUUUCAACCAGCAUCCAAUUCUCUAUAGUAAAGCUCUUUAUUUUAAGAAGAAUUAUUUAUUAUGAUUGCUACUAUUAUUUUGGAAAAAAAAAACAGUUUGUAAAAUCUAUGAAACUGCAUGAUUUUUCCCUGGCUAUCCAGAAUUACACAUUCAUGAGGCAAUCCUUAUAUGACUAUUUUCAUUCACACUAAAUAAGGAAUCUUUCUCUGUAAUGCUGCAGCUCUUGCUUUUGAUUAUUUCCAUAACUA